rnacentral:rRNA from 1 species
UGGCGGUGCCUGUCGGCUCUACGCGUAGUAAUACUCCUCGCGUCUGGGUCCGGUAGGUUGCUUGCCAACAACCCCCAAUUUUUUACAGGUUGACCUCGGAUCAGGUAGGGAUACCCGCUGAACUUAAGCAUAUCAAUAAGCGGAGGAAAAGAAACCAACAGGGAUUACCUCAGUAACGGCGAGUGAAGCGGUAACAGCUCAAAUUUGAAAGCUAGCUCUUUUAGGGUUCGCAUUGUAAUUUGUAGAAGAUGCUUCGGGUGUGGCCCCGGUCUAAGUUCCUUGGAACAGGACGUCAUAGAGGGUGAGAAUCCCGUAUGUGACUGGGUGCUUUCGCUCAUGUGAAGCUCUUUCGACGAGUCGAGUUGUUUGGGAAUGCAGCUCAAAAUGGGUGGUAAAUUUCAUCUAAAGCUAAAUAUUGGCCAGAGACCGAUAGCGCACAAGUAGAGUGAUCGAAAGAUGAAAAGCACUUUGGAAAGAGAGUUAAACAGUACGUGAAAUUGUUGAAAGGGAAGCGCUUGCAACCAGACUUGCGCGCUGAUGAUCAUCCGGGCUUCUGUCCGGUGCACUCGUCUGCGCUCAGGCCAGCAUCGGUUUCGGUGGUGGGAUAAAGGCCUUGGGAAUGUAGCUUCUUUCGGGGAGUGUUAUAGCCCUCGGUGCAAUGCCGCCUACCGGGACCGAGGACCGCGCUUCGGCUAGGAUGCUGGCGUAAUGGUUGUAAGCGACCCGUCUUGAAACACGGACCAAGGAGUCUAACAUCUAUGCGAGUGUUUGGGUGUCAAACCCAUACGCGUAAUGAAAGUGAACGGAGGUGAGAACCCUUAAGGGUGCAUCAUCGACCGAUCCUGAUGUCUUCGGAUGGAUUUGAGUAAGAGCAUAGCUGUUGGGACCCGAAAGAU